UACGUAGGGUGCAAGCGUUAUCCGGAAUUAUUGGGCGUAAAGAGCGUGUAGGCGGCUUGGUAGGUCCGCUGUGAAAACUCGAGGCUCAACCUCGAGAUGUCGGCGGAAACCACUUGGCUAGAGUCCGGAAGAGGAGAGUGGAAUUCCCGGUGUAGCGGUGGAAUGCGUAGAGAUCGGGAAGAACAUCAGUGGCGAAGGCGGCCUGCUGGGCUGUUGCUGACGCUGAGGCGCGACAGCGUGGGGAGCAAACAGG
rnacentral:rRNA from 1 species